rnacentral:rRNA from 1 species
UGAACGCUGGCGGCGUGCCUAAUACAUGCAAGUAGAACGCUGAAGGAAGGAGCUUGCUCUUUCCGGAUGAGUUGCGAACGGGUGAGUAACGCGUAGGUAACCUGCCUGGUAGCGGGGGAUAACUAUUGGAAACGAUAGCUAAUACCGCAUAACAGUAGAUGUUGCAUGAUAUCUACUUAAAAGGUGCAAUUGCACCACUACCAGAUGGACCUGCGUUGUAUUAGCUAGUUGGUGAGGUAACGGCUCACCAAGGCGACGAUACAUAGCCGACCUGAGAGGGUGAUCGGCCACACUGGGACUGAGACACGGCCCAGACUCCUACGGGAGGCAGCAGUAGGGAAUCUUCGGCAAUGGACGGAAGUCUGACCGAGCAACGCCGCGUGAGUGAAGAAGGUUUUCGAAUCGUAAAGCUCUGUUGUAAGAGAAGAACGAGUGUGAGAGUGGAAAGUUCACACUGUGACGGUAUCUUACCAGAAAGGGACGGCUAACUACGUG